UAUCAGACUGAUUACCGUGGUGUUGCAGUGCAGUUCAAGAGACCUGUAUUUUACUGAAUCCUGGACCCAAAGCACGAGAGUAGUGAUGCUGAUAACUCAGGUAUGCCAAAGAUGUAAGUGCUUCCUUUCAGUGAAAAGGUGAACACUCUCUACUCAAAAAGGAAAGAAAAAAUAUAUGCUGAGGAUGCUCAGAUCUUUGGUAACAACGAAUCUUCUAUCCAUGAAACUGUAAAGAUGGAAAAAAGGAAUUUGUGCAUGUUUUGACGUUGCAAAACAAGUUACAGCACAGUGGUUGGAUUUCCUCCUUUGGAGGGCCAGGCUGGAGGUGUUAUGGAUUGUUGGGUGUUGACCUGAGACAUCGCAGCCCAGGCAUGCCCCUGCUCACUUGGUACCUGCCCACCUCCCUGAGUCGGGGCUGCCAUCUCCUCUGUAACGGUGCUGUUACCACACAGGGCUGGCAUGAAGUGAUGCUAGUAACUUGCAACUUUGCUACUGUGGCUCCCGUAUGGAAGGAUACUGGUUGAAGGAUUCCAGAGUCACGCCUAGGUCGUCCCAGACAGGUUCUUCUACUGGAUGCUACCUGGCCUGCCCCCAGCCUCUGAAAGGCUCUCACCCACCUCAUUCCUACCACCCAGGGGACCGACAGAGAACUGCCAUGUGCGAAGCACAGGGGCCCAGUGCUUGUCUCAGGCCUGCUCCCUCCCUCUUCCCCAAUCUUCACUUCCCCGGGGCUUUUUCUUCCUCUCCCAGGAAGAAUGACAGAUGGGAAUAUCCACAUAGAGGCUCACCCCCUACUCAGAGAGGCUGGCCUUUUCAGAAUACCUGAAAGACCAUCUCUCAACUUGUUUCCCUAAGUCUGAGAUACGUGGUUUGGAAAAUCACCUUGGGGGAUACUUUCACCAAAAGUCCAAACUGGCUGUUGCCACUGGGUCCACAUUUGUGGUUCCCUGUGAGUAGGAAGUGAGGCCAGGUUUCCAGUGAUUUUCUUGAUCUGGCCCAGUCUCCAUCAUGAGAUGUGGUAUGACAAAUGCUGAAGUCCUAAUCCCAAAGGUGACAGUGUUAGGAGAUGGGACUUUGGGAAGUGACGAGGUCAUGAAGGUGGAGCCUUCAUGACUGGGAUUAAUGCCCUUAUCAGAGAGACCCUAGAGAGCGAGCACACCCCUUCUGCCAGGUGGGUACAUGGUGAAAAGGUGCCGUCUAUGAAGCAGGAAGCCCUCGUUGAAUAUCAAAUCUGCCUGCACCGACCCUGAACC